UACAGAGGGUGCGAGCGUUGUCCGGAAUCACUGGGCGUAAAGGGUGCGUAGGCGGCGCGGUAAGUCGGGUGUGAAAUCUCGGAGCUUAACUCCGAAACUGCAUUCGAUACUGCCGUGCUUGAGGACUGGAGAGGAGACUGGAAUUUACGGUGUAGCGGUGAAAUGCGUAGAUAUCGUAAGGAAGACCAGUGGCGAAGGCGGGUCUCUGGACAGUUCCUGACGCUGAGGCACGAAGGCCAGGGGAGCAAACGGG
rnacentral:rRNA from 1 species